rnacentral:lncRNA from 1 species
ACUAGUAUAGGUUCCUGUACUUGUCGAACUCCGUCCAGAUGCAAAGAGCUUUCAACUCCAACCACCUAACUGAUGAAGCUUUUCGAUGCGUCGAACUGAUUGUGGGAUUUUUUCUUGAAAGCACCAAUGUGCCUGCAAUAGAGGAUCAUUCAUAGAGGGAACUAGUGAACAUCAUGAAGCUUUUGUCAAGGGUAUGUAAUAAAAAAAGUUGGAAACUUCACGGCAUAACCAUGGCUCCAAAAGUGGAAUGGCAAGACCAGCUGCACCAUUUCCCCUAAGUAUCAGGCUUUGCAUAACCAAACUCCAUAAUAAAAGCGUGCAGCUAUCGUGAUUUCAGCAAGAAGCCACAGCAGCAAGUUGGCACUUUUGGAUGUUCAAUCCUACAAUGUUCAGCUAAAUGCUUAUCUGCAAUCAAAUAUAAGCAUCAUUAGACGUAUAUAAGCACAACUGAAUAGACUCAAAUGAAACAGAAACCAUCUAAGACGUACAUACUGGUUACAACUCCAAGGUUAGCUGCCAAAAGUUGAAACACAACACAUGAAGCCAGCAGGAUAAUCCGAAGUAG